rnacentral:lncRNA from 1 species
UUGGCUCCUAGGAGAGAGUGGGAGGGUAGCUCUCCCUUUCCUUCUUCUGUGGUAGAGCGUGUGAAUGCGAGUACUCCUUUCUCUCAUUGUUUGAGUGACUGCAGGUAUUGGUGUCUGCCUUUGAACGUGCGCGCGUGUGUGUGUCUGGGAGUGUGUGUGUUGGAGAGGGAAAGAGAUAAAAAGAGAGAGUGAGGCGAGCAGUGUUUCUUUUCCCCCUCUAGCCUCCCCGUCUCCCUGCUCCCUGUCACUCCGUUCUUCUUCCCUCCCGGACCACCCUGCCUCCAGUCGGAUAGACCCUGGACCUCCCCAGGACCCUCCUCCCAUCACCCCUUUGACUCUCCUCACUUCUCCGACCCGCUUUGCAACUGAGCAGUUUUUGCAACGAAUCCAGUAUAAACCUGAAGAGGAACAUAUUAUUGAACACUGA